CGAAAGCCUGACGGAGCAAUACCGCGUGAGGGAUGACUGCCUAUGGGUUGUAAACCUCUUUUUUCAGGGAGGAACACAAUGACGUGUACCUGAAGAAUAAGCAUCGGCUAACUCCGUGCCAGCAGCCGCGGUAAGACGGAGGAUGCAAGUGUUAUCCGGAAUCACUGGGCGUAAAGCGCCUGUAGGUGGUUUAUUAAGUCCGCUGUUAAAUCUUGAGGCUUAACCCCAAAAUCGCAAUGGAAACUAUUAGACUAGAGUAUGGUAGGGGUAAAGGGAAUUUCCAGUGUAGCGGUGAAAUGCGUAGAUAUUGGAAAGAACACCGAUGGCGAAAGCACUCUACUGGACUAUUACUGACACUCAGAGACGAAAGCUAGGGUAGCAAAUG
rnacentral:rRNA from 1 species